GCUGGGCGUGGUGGUGCACGCCUGUAAUCCCAACUACUCAGGAGGCUGAGGUAAGAGAAUCACUUGAACCCAGGAAGCUAAGGUUGCAGUGAGCCGAGAUUAUGCCACUGCACUCCAGCCUGGGCAACAGAGGAAGACUCUGCCUCAU
rnacentral:SRP_RNA from 1 species